AGUUGGUGAUGAUUCAAGUGUAAGAGUAGUGGACAGAAGUGAUUUCUGAGAAACUUUGAAACUGAGACU
ensembl:snoRNA small nucleolar RNA SNORD75